rnacentral:tRNA from 1 species
UGUCCCGUGUCUCGCGACAGCAGCAGUUUCCUAAUCUGGGGGUCGCGCGUUCGAAUCGCGCCGGGAUCACCA